GGAUUUGGUCUCUUUGCUCUGCGAGUUCGAAGAAGAAGCUUCACCCUCCUCGCCUUCGGCUUCCGGCUCACCGUUGUAGCUUAUGUGAAGAGUUCGAUCUUCUAUCUGAAUGUUCAGGCGAAGCUUGAAGAUAUAAGACUCUGCUGUCUCUUCGCGUCGUAGUGCACGAGUGUCGUGGAGGGAAGCGUCUCUAGCUUGCGCACAAGCCUGUUUGUGUAGAGGAACUCUGAGGAUGAUCAGAUCGGUGAAUAGUUGAGGACGGUUUAAGCCUGUCUUUGUACUCCUGGCGCACCCUCGCCCUAACCACGGUGAGAACACGAGAGCCAUUUCCUAAUGUGGCGAGUCUGACUGGAGGGGCAACAAGUGAUAGUUCAAGAACCGAGAGAUCGAUCAAAAACUAGUCAGACUUGAAGAUGCGUGCAACGAUGCGGCUCAGUUCCUCGAGGUGCGGAUGCAAGUAGAACAAUUCGAAAGUGAUGUAUAUGAAUCAGGAUGAUCUCAGUGAUACAUUUAUACGGACUGUGAAUGGUGAGACGAGGAACUCUGCCGUGUAGGCGUUGCACCCUGCAGAAAGACCUGGAAGAGCCUGGAAGAAUCAAAGUCGGUUCACCUUCUGAGAUGCAUCAAUUGCUCAGUUUCCUCAUUUGUUUUAGAACAACCACCUUAGAAAUCGCGCAUCAAGCUCAUCACUGUGUAGUGCAGCAUGAAUUUCAGAUAAAAUUCGUAUAUAGAAGAAAUGUUGACCGAAGCCUAUUCUAUAUUCCUCCACACGGAUGUCAAGGUCAGUCACCGACUAAGCACCAACCUGGAACGGAAGUUGGCGAGUGUCACCCUAAACCUGUUAUCAAUUGAGACUCUUGGAUGUAGAGGAGAUUGAGAACAAGCUGCCGAACCCGGUAGGAGUGAGCAGCAAGACUCCUACACUUCUGGAUCCUUCUAAAUUUCUCCCGAUCAUUCCACAACACUCGACACAUUUCUUCAUAGCAUCAGAAAGCAAGGCUGAGCAAGGUACACAGAGUCAUUGUCUCUGUGCUAGCAUCCCUCAGGCAACAGGUUUAGGGUUUAGAAGCUGAGAUUCUGAUGCUACCAACUCUCGAACUUUACUAAUUACAACUACGAAUUGGACAGCAUGUGAAUGUGAAUUUCUCAUGGUGCAUCCUU